GCGACGAGGUGAAAAUUCGACGCACCGUGAGAAAAUAAAACGAGCGAGAUAUUAUGCGCAUUGCAUCGUUUUUAAUAACUCAUCAUAUCAUCCGCGGCGCGGCGUCGUACCUACAUACCAUUGUGAUGUGAAACAAAUAUCAACCUACAGUGUGAAAUUAAUUGCCUUGCUCAGGAAGUACAAUGAGAUGGCGGCUUGGUUUAAGGGAUAUUUGACAAGCUUUCGUUGAAGCACUUUGUAAAGACGGGUAAUCCACUAAUAUUUCGUAAAUUGCACAGCCAACGGGCUGAUCGUUUUGAGGAAGGUGAUAGAAGACAAAGGCCGUAUUCGAGCGAUGAUGGUUGCUACUGCGAGAUGGGAAAAGUCAGCAUCUACGAUCUGGAGCUUGAAGCCAUUGAUGAGUGCAUGCAAGAUGGAUAUGCAUGCUCAGGCACUUACUAGUAAAUUUGUGUGUUGGACGAUGAAAGUGUCGUAUCGAAACGUUAGGUUAAAACAAGUCUUAUCACGACUAUACAUAAAUGAUUGUUCUGAAAAAGAGUUCUGAAUAGGACUAGCUUGAAAAUUCUAUGUUAUUGUGUGAAAUAUAAUUAAGUGAUAAAAUCAGGGUCAUGUACAGUUAUUAUAAUAUGUUCUUUUAUUUAAAGGGGGAGAACUGUGGUGUAUACCACCCUUACACCUACCACUGUAUUGAUAGAUAGCUAAAUAAAGCAUUCGAGCAAAGGCUCGAUCUCUUUGUAUGUUAACUCUUGAACGAACAACAACUGUUUUAUUUAGUCUCCUCCAGAA